rnacentral:rRNA from 1 species
UACGUAGGGUGCAAGCGUUGUCCGGAAUUAUUGGGCGUAAAGAGCUCGUAGGCGGUUUGUCGCGUCGAAUGUGAAAACCCGGGGCUCAACCCCGGGCCUGCAUUCGAUACGGGCAGACUAGAGUUCGGUAGGGGAGUCUGGAAUUCCUGGUGUAGCGGUGAAAUGCGCAGAUAUCAGGAGGAACACCGGUGGCGAAGGCGGCAUACUGGACCACAUCUGACGCUGAGGCGCGAAAGCCAGGGGAGCAAACGGG